rnacentral:lncRNA from 1 species
AUUCACAAACUACAUCCUAACGCCGAAACUGCAGUUGGCUAGGCGAUUCGUUCCGUCCCGGAGCGUGUCAACCCUAAAACACUCCACCGCCUCUUUCAAAUUCUAACACUCUUAAGCCCUAAACCUGAAACAGCAUUUUCAAUCCCACAAUAAAAUUGAUUCCAUAAUCCGAAUAAAAGAAAUGGUUCAGCAAAAACCCAUCAAAUUUUUUUGCAUGUCGAGAGGAAAUCAAUAAGCCGUGAAGCGAUUCACAACGAUGCCAUUGUGGGCUCAAAGAGUUUCCAUUUCCAAGAUUUUCUCUACAGCUUUUCUCCAUGGUCACGCCCAGAUAGAGUCAUGCCUCUUCCACUCCUCCACUCCUUGGUUCGUAAAAGUAGUGUGUACUCUGUGUGUUCGUGACUCGCAGUUUCUCACUGUUUUUAAUUCGGAUUAUUUCUGCAAAAAUUUGAACCCUUUUAUAGCUUUCAGUGUUAUUCAACAUGUAAAUAGUAGACUAAAUAACCCCAGAUUGGCAUUUAGCUUCUUUCAAUAUACAAGGCUUCAUUUAAAUCUCAUUCAUUCGAUUCCUACUUUUGAGUUGCUUCUGAGGUCACUCUGCCAGGUGGGCCUGCACGAUUUGGCUAAUUUAUCAUAUGAAUACAUGAAAGCAGAUGGAUUUUUCCCCAAUAGCUCGGUUUUAGAUUAUACAAUUUCGUCCUUUGUGAAUGCCGGCAGAAUUAGGACUGCCGAAGAAAUUUUGAUUUCACUAGCUGAGUUGUAUAUUGACAAAGAUGACGUUGUUAGUUCUUUUGUAUGCAACAAUUUGUUGAGCUUGUUAUGUAAAAGAAAUCAGGUUGAUGAGGCAGUUGGUUUUUUUAGAGAGCAUAUUUUGAGUUUACGAGGGUUCUGCCCAGAUACAUGUAGUUUUAAUAUAAUUAUGAGGGGAUUGUGCAAAGUGGCAAACGUAGAUAAGGCUUUUGAGUUUUUUGAUAGUAUGAGGAGUUUUGAUUGUUUGCCAGAUCUUAUUACGUACAAUACACUCAUUAAUGGGCUCUGUACGGUUGGUAAUGUGGACAGAGCACAGAAGCUAUUGAGAGAAGUUCAAUCACAAGGUGAAUUUUUGCCAGACAUUGUGACAUAUACAUCAAUUAUUUCUGGAUACUGCAAAUUGGGUAAGAUGGAGAGGGCUGCUGAUCUUUUUGAUGAAUUGAGUAAUCGUGGGAUUAGGCCAAACUUAAUUACUUUCAACGUUCUUAUUGAUGGUUUUGGCAAAAAGGGAGAAAUGGUUUCAGCAUCGGAGAUAUAUGAGAGGAUGGUUGGUGGUGGCUAUCAUCCUGAUGUUUUCUCCUUCACCUCUCUCAUUGAUGGUCAUUGUCGGGCUGGUGGGUUAGAGCAAGGUUUGAAGCUGUGGGAUGAAAUGAAUGAGAGGAAUGUGUCUCCAAAUUUAUUUACUUUCUCUGUUCUCAUUAAUGCUCUGUGCAAGGAGAAUAGACUAAAUGAAGCUCGUGAUUUAUUAAGGCAGAUGCAAUGGAGGGAAGAUAUCAUUCCCCAACCAUUUGUAUAUAAUCCUGUAAUUGAUGGAUUUUCUAAGGCUGGUAAUGUAGACGAGGCGAAUGCUAUUGUCGCAGAAAUGGAGGUGAAAGGAUGCAGCCCUGAUAAGCUGACAUUCACCAUUCUUAUUCUGGGGCAUUGUAUGAAAGGAAGAAUGUCUGAAGCAAUAAGCAUUUUUGAUAAGAUGUUGACAUUGGGUUGUGUCCCAGAUAGUAUUACCACAACCUCUUUAGUAUCUUGCCUCAGAAAGGCAGGGAUGACAAAUGAAGCCUAUAAGAUAGAGCAACAUAUAUCAAAUGAUAUGCAGUCAGGUUUAUCAACUUCAGAGAGAAACAAACCAUUCAGGAGUAACAUGGAUAUUACUGUGGCUGUUUAGUUGAAAUCAUUAUCUUGCUUUGAGCUUAGCAUUUGUGCAAGGCCUCACCCGAACGCACUUCAGUCAUAAGCAUUUCAGCAUGUUCUAUUUACUCACCAGUGGCAGUAAGUUCACUUCCUUGUUUACUCUAUCGAAUUAAUUGCUACUAUCUUCCCAUUCUUUCAUUUUAAAGUAGAUACUUUUAUGCUUCAAAUUCUUAUGGGUAGAUAGAUUUGUUGCUUUUGUCUUUCUUGUUUGAUCAUAUGUGUUGAUGAAUAAGUUAUUAGCCAUAAUACAAUCAAAUCAAAAGUUAUCAGACCCAGAAGUUGUAUUGGAAGAAAUAAGUGGAAAAAAAUUGCAGGGCGGAAGCUACUUAGUGUAUUAGAGACUUGCUAUAUGCUUGCUAAGCAUCUAGAAUGAGUAAAUUUAGCUGAAGCACAGGCCAAGAUGCCUGAUCUUCAAACUUAGUUUCUGCACGUUAACAGAUUGUAUUUCAACGAUAAGUUGGAUUAAGAGAAAGCAAAGGGAAGAAGUCAUGAUAGUAAUAAAUAUGCUUAUUCUUUGCUAUUUUAUUUUUGUCUCAGUGAUGCAUUAAUCCAGGCUCAUGCUUAUGAUCAAGAGAUGUAUUGGUCAGAGCAAUUCUGGAUGAUUUUUAACAUCUUCGGAAUAGAAAAGAUUGCUCUGCUUUAAUCGACGUUUAAGAAGAUGUAAAAAGGUACCGAGGCAGUUUUCCUUCGUGCCCUCGAGGCAGUUUGAGACGUAAGUCUCAUCACAAACCAAAAAACCAAAAUAUUGAAUCAAAAAAUUAUAAAAUAAUACAAAAUAAAGAUGUAAUAAACCAUAAAAAAAUCUUCAAAAUUCUCAAUAAAACAAACAACAAAAUAAAUUAAUAAAGUAGCAAAUAAUCAAUAGUCCUGUUGAAAAAAGUUUAAAAGUCUCCGGAGCUGCCAAGGUCAAAGAAAAAUUUUAGUUGGUAACUUAGAGUCAGAAUAAUAGCAAAGAGAACAAAAAUUUCAGAAAUAAAAUUAAAAGCAAAAUAACCUGCUGCAAACCGCCUGAGUUUUGUAGACUUAGACGCUGAAAGAAUAUUGUGGGGUGGGUGGCUUCUGACUUGGGAAUUGGGUAGAGGUGUGGAGCAGGAUAUGGAAGCUUUUGGGUUUUUUUUUUUUUGGUCCUGGGUGGGCGUAAUAUUUGAGUAGUUUAGCUUAAACAAGUAAAAGUAACUGUUGGGCCCACUUAGAAAUAAAGUUUCUGAUGUGUCUUUUUACAUAUUAACAACAAUAUUGAGACACAUGCCGUAAGGCUUGCACCUCGAGGUGUCCUCAUCAAGCUGAGGUGUGUUCCUCAAUAAAGUAGCAUAAAAAUUGAUCCUUGAGUCACAAACCUUACGCCCUCAUGACCGCCUUUUUAAAGCAUGGCUUUAAUUAUUACAAAUAUUGUUGGAACUAGCAAUUUAUGAAAAUUUGUUAGUGUAAGAUUUUUUGGGAAAAUGUAGAAGUAUUAACGAUGAACAGACCUUGAUUGACUCUUAAUGCUUCUAAAUUAUAUUACAACUGGUGUGAACUUUUCCAGCAAAUCACAAUGCAUUCAUAAAAAAGAAGCGCACUCUACUCCAUUGCCUCUUAAAGAACUUUUCGGUUUGACUAGUACGGUCCUAGCAUAUAGAGAUCUGCAAAUGACAAUAUCUGGAAAGCAAAGAUCUGUAAAUACAAUGAUUCAGUUAUUUGGGAAAAUAAAGUUAUUGUUUUUAGUGAAAAUUUACUUUAAACAAUCCAAUGUAUAAAUCUUAGGCAUAAUUAAGUUUUCUUCACUUGCUGAAUCAACCGUUAGUUACCCAAGUGGGCAUUGGUUAGUUGUGGCGUGCUCCAUAUGCAAAUGAGAUGGGAUACUUUGGUGCCUAGAAGUGUAUAAAAUUAAGCAAAGGUUUGUAGAAAAACAGUUUUCCCAAUGGUUAGUUAACCCAAGUGGGCAAUGCUUAGUUGUGGCGUGCUCCGUAUGCAAAUGAGAUGGGAAACUUUGAGGCCUAGAAGUGUAGAAAAUUAAGCAAGGGUUUGUAGAAAAACAAAACUACUAAUUCUAAAGAGCCAUUUUGGUAAUCAGUUUUCGUGCCGUUAACGUAGGAGCUCUCAGUUGUAGUUUAAAAUUUGGCAUUUAGUUUCUUCUUCUUCACUUUUUUUUUUAAUUACCGUGGGUAUUUGGGCCAGUUUACGCGCAAUUUCAACUAAUUUCACGAGCCCCUGAAGUUUACAAGUUGGAUGCUUACCUCAGUGGCCCUGAGGGGACUCGAAUCAGUGAUCAUUGGGGAGCAAAUCCAAGACCUGAUCAGUAUUUAGUUUCUUAUGGUUAGGGAAUUCUGUAUGCCUUUCCCUCCACACUUCAAUCUUUAUAUACUUCUUUUUUAUAUUCAGAAAAUAUACAGAUAUUAUCAAACCUGUUUUCAUGGCAUUAGAGUUUCUCUUCCACGUCUCUUCCUGAUUAACCCUGUUCUUUCACUUAGUUACCUUCGUCUUUCCCACUACAUGUAAUCAUUUGUUCAUCAUGUUUGUAGCUAGUGAAGUCGUUUCACCAUGAAAUUCUAUUUCAUGAGUCCUUCAAGCAGCAUAUCAUGUAUCACUAACUGAAUGGAUAGAACUUUAUUGGUAUCAACUGUGAAGACGAUUUUUCGUGGGAAGGGUAAGUUUGGUCGUAUUGCUGAUGCUGCAAAACCUUUGCCAAGAGAGAGGAAUGUGCAUUCCAGAUUUGGGAGGCUGAAAACUCAAUAGUGAUGGCCUGGCUUGUGAACUUGAAGGAGCUUGAAACUGGACAAAUUUAUCUCCUUUUGUCAGCAGCAGAAGAGAUGUCGGAUGCUGUAAAUAGAUACCCUUUCUGAUGUAAGGAAUUGAAGCGUUUGAUUCUUAACACCAACAUUUUCUUUGAACUAGCUCUUGUCCACAUUCUCGGUUCAAGCUCAUGAUAGGUGAAGUAAAUGAUUAAGGACCACUUACUUAGGAUAACCAGAUAUUUCUUGAACCUACUCAUAAGACAGUAAAAAUGCAAAUACACCCUGCAUGGCCGUACACCCAAUCUUCCAUUUCUUUUUGGAGUCUAACUAGUAAGAGCUAGGCCUAUCAGAAUGCUCACGUUAUUGACUCAGGUCUAUGUAGCACUUUGUCCCUGUGAUGCUCGGACUCGCUGAAAUGACCGGAGUACCCGUGUCGACACGGGUACUGGUAUGAAAUAUGGGGCGGGUUCUUCACUUUUCAAGUCGACAAGGCAGUGUCUGGAUGUGGGGUGGAGGCGGAAAUAGGCAGCGAGAAGGCAACGAUGGGAAGAAGUAGAAUGGGCGCAAUAGGAAGAAGACGAUCUGGAGAAGACGAGGAGAUGACAAAGGGAUUUAUGGACGUGGGAUGGAAGUAGAACAGGCGCAACAGGAAGAAGAUGAUUGGAGAAGACGAGAGGAUUUAUGGCCCAAGUUAGGUUUUUGUAUGUAAUGAGGGGUUAAUUGUAUGGGAUGGGUUGGGUUAAAAUAAUUUUCGAUAAGUGGGGUUUGGUUAUAUGGGCCAAUAUUCUUGGGCUACAAUAACUUUUGUAUUUAGGGCUAUUGGGUAUAUAUGUCUUUGUAAUUGGUAUGUAAUUGGGGUUGUUUUGGACUUGAUUUAUUUAGUCAGGGUGGGAUGUUUUAUUUGCCACUUAAGUAUUAUUUAAGAAUUUUUGAAAAAAAUAAAAAAAUAAAAAAAUUGAAUUGAAAAACGUAUCCACUUAUCCGUGUCCAAAAUUUGGAUUCUUUUAGUCAUGUCCCCGUAUCCUACAUUUUAGAAAAUAAAGGAUCCGACACUUAGAUACGUAUCCGUAUUCGAGUCCGAGCAUCAUAGCUUUGUCUUAUGUGCGGCAGCCAUUUAUCGAUAUUAGUCCUUGGGAGACCUCCAUGUUGAAGAUUUGCAUUCUGGAGAUAUGGGUUCAAGCAUUUAGAUGGACUCAAGGCCAUCUUCUUCCAUCGUUUAGGAUUAGCUGUUUGAGUUGCUUUUUCUGGGUCAUCCUGCCAAUUAAUAACUUGGUAGUGGAAAGUGGUAAAAAUAAUUGUGACUGCCCAUCACUAAUAGUCAUUUACUGCCUGUGAAGAGAAACUUAAAUUUCUAUCAACUCCAUUUUAUGAGUUAAGAUUGAAAUAUUUAGCACAAGAGGUGGAGCAAUAGCAUGCUAGAAGAGGUGAUCCCUUAUUCUGUCCAUAUAUUUGGGAUUAUUGACUUGUAAUGUUUUCUCCAAUUCUAAAACUCUCGUGUAAGCACCGUUUGAGCUAAGGUAUUCAUCUUAUAAAAGUUUAUUCUUCUUGUGAAUUUCAAUAUGCUGGUCUGUUCCAUAGCUUUUGAUCUCAUAUCUAAGCUUCUUGGUGGUGCCUGCUUUUUAUCUUCUUAUAUUGGGUGGCUGAACAAUUUUGGAAGUCUAGUGGUGCAGCUGCAAAAUCUACCUUUGCACAUGGUAUUUUGAUAUGUCUAAUUCAUGGAUGCACAAAGUGUCAAUGUUUUCGAAAAUAAUUAUGGAUGCACAAAGUGUCAAUGUUUUCGAAAAUAAUUAGUUCUUGCUUGGCUAAGAUUUUAAGUGCUUAUAAGCAGUAGGUCCCAAGGAAUGUAGGAUUCAAAAGUAGUUAAAACUUGUGGGUUAUAAGAAAUGUGUAUAAACAGAUAAAAAACUUCGCAAAACAUAUGCUUACUAUGGUUUAAGGUUCUGAGGAUUAUCCAUAAAAAUGCAUAUGUUAUAUAAAAAAUUUAAUGAUGUAAUGCAAUAUGCAUGAACAUACAUUCUUAAGAGAGAGCAAUGGGCUUGGCAUUUGGAUUCUGAUAACUUGUGGAUUAGGGCCCAGCGAGCUGAAGCUUAUCCAGAAUAUUAAAAGAAUAUAAUCCACUGCUCUGUCUAAACUGUUUUACUUAGUUUAUCUGCUUUCCGUAAUGUUUUCCGUUGCACUUAACAUUUUCAUUGAUUGUUCUCUCCGAACUGCUUGACUUUUGAGGCAUGAUUAUUAUACUUCAUACACCUCUGCAGCAGGCUGUAGAAUGUGUCAUCAUCCAGCGCAAAUAUGUGAACACACUAGAAAUGUCAAUUUAUCUGAACAUAUGUAGUUGUAUUGAUUUUUUGAUUCAGGGGUUCUAAUUUUCUAUAUCGUAUCUCAGAGCUGAAUUUGGUGAUUUAUAUCUGUACCUGGAACAUGGGGAGAAAUAAUUUGCCUUGAGGUUUUCUUCAAUCUCCAUCUCUGUGUUACGCUGCGUGGCUGAUGGUUUACUCAUUCAGUGACUUUUGCUUUAAGAGGUACGGAUUGCAUUCUUCUGGUUUUAUAUUCUUUUGUAUCACUAUUUUUAAAUCUAUCACUGUCAUCAUGAUUGUGGUUUGAAUCAGUAGGAUUUGUUAUAAAGCAAUAUUAUUGCAAAUCUAGAUAGGUAGGUAGUAUUGAUAUCUAUUCAAUCUAUCUCUAUAUCUUUUGAAUUUAUUUUUUACUGUCGCACACACUCAAUACUGUAGCCAUGGGUGGACUUUUUUUUUUUUUUUUUUUUUUUUGGGACUGGGCUAAUAUAUGUGUGUGUGUAUUUUUUUAUUUUUAUCUAUUUUUAACAUUUUUUCACAUGUCAAAAAAGUACAUGGGCUUGGGCUGCCUGUGCACCUCCCUAUCUACUCCCCUGCAUACGCUAGAUGCUUAAAAAAUUCACCUGCAUUUAUACUUUUAUGUACUUUAUGGGCAAACCUCCCUAUCUACUCCCCUGCAUACACUAGAUGAUUAAAUAGUCGACCUGCAUUUGUAAUUGUAUGUUCUUUGUGGGCUAGGUAAGCGUGCAUUUUUCUACUCCCCUCAGACAGUUCAUUCAUCAUAAACCACAUUUUGUUGAAUCUUAUAAUGUCUGUGACAUGAUGUGCCAUAUUCAGAAUUGUACAAGUUUCUUGCAUUUGAAGCUUCAUGGAAUUAUCUGUCACCGCAGUGUUGCUUUGCUUUGGUCUUUGUGUGUGCAUGCAUACCUUGAGAUGAGAUAUUUUUCCUUAGAUUUAAAUUUUUGUUCCGUUUUUGCACUUCUAUUUGCCUGGCUCUUUAAAUUGCUUGUCGACUCAUAUUGGGUGCCAAGGUAUUUUUUUAGUUGAUGCAUAAUUACUGGGUUCCCAUGAUUGGAAGAUCGUGAUUAUAGUAAGGAUACGAUCAUUUAAUAAGUUUGAAGGGCUGAUUUUCGACAUGUUCAUCAAUCCAUUGGCCUUGUGGGGUUAACCUGGUCAAGCGCUAGUUUAACUGUGGCAUUUUUCACUUUGUAAACUGAAUACCGUGUUGUACACUGUAAUAUUGUAAUGCUGCUUGAAUUGGUUUCACAUUUAUUCAAUUAUUCUGCUCUUUUAGAUAGAAAGAUAAUGUCAUUCGUGCUGUCCAUUGCUUUAAUUGGUUUAUGACGCUCAAGGUUCAGUUCUGUAGGUGCUAAUAAACUAGCGGGAAAUAUCGGCUAUAUUAGAUGUUCUGUAGUUUAUUUUAUUUUAUUUUAUUUUUUGUUCUUUAUUGCAAUUGUAAAGUUAUAUUUGACUGAUGUCUCCUGAACACUUGUGCUGAUGAAUGAUGACAGAACAGCAAAUUUGGUUAAACUUCAAAAAACGUAGUAGUACUUUUUUGUAAGCAAGUAAAGAUUUACUUUUCAAAAAGUAAGUUUUUGACUGAAUUUACUUUGACUUCGUCGGUUAAAGAAAUUAUUUAAAAUUGACUUUUAAGCUUGGACGUGUUUUGCUAAAGUCAAAAAGUUACCGUUAAUUACAUUUACUUUUUCUUAAUGCUCAGCCAAACAUUCUUGUGCUGCUAUUAUAUAGAUUAUUGUCCAAUUCUUCUAAUGUAUCUCGGAGGGCCUUCUGAAGGUCGAUAUUUUGCAUCGUGUAUGCACCGACAACCAUUUCCGUUGUCUAUCUAUGUCAAGAGUUACUAUCUGGUAAACGUCAUGAGUUACUAUAGGGUAGAUCAUACUUCAUAAUCUAUGUAUUGAUCCUGUGAUUGUCUUCAUGCAGGCACAAAAUCAUUCAAUCUCAAUGGAUUCAGCAGGCGCUUUGAAAAUUUCUGGACUUUUAGCAUCCUCGUGCAUUCAUGCAUCCCAGAAAUGGAAUUUGAUAAUAUUGCAUGCCUUUAUAUGAAACGUCCCUCCUUUUCUUCCCUGACGGUGACUCCAAAGUUUACAAGGACACCAUCUCCCUCUCUCACGAUGGCAGGAGGGGAAGGAGAUCAAAUUACAUAUUGUUGAUUGGAAAGAAGAAAGGGGAUGGGGGUGUUACUUUGCCAUAUUAAUACCUUGUUGUGGAAUGGAACUUCAAAUAAAAAGGCAUGAAUGAGAAAAAGGUCUACUAAUUUAAACUCUUGUUUGUUUGAUCAUGGUGCAGUUACCAUGGACGGCAAGUCAAUGAACUGAACGCCAUCAAUUCAUAUAAGAAAAAGAAUAAUGCUAGAUGUAUAUUUUGGUUGACAACUUCUUUGACAUCCUCCCAUGUUGAAGAAAUUGGACAGUGAUGUGAUGGUUGCGGUCAAAAUCAGUGGUGCAGAUCUAACCAUAUAGAGAAGAGUGUAAACCAGAGUGUAAUUCAUGAUGUAGAUGUAGCAUGGUUGAUAACAAAGUCAUUAAGAUCACAGUGGAAAGGAGGUGUAAAUCGUAUUUUUGCCGUGCAUGUGAGUUUCUACUUUUCGUUUCAUUUAUUAAGCAAUGUUUAUUUCAAUGUUGAUUCAGUA